rnacentral:rRNA from 1 species
AAUCAACGCUGGCGGCGUGCCUAACACAUGCAAGUCGAACGCGAAAGUCCCGCAAGGGAUCAGUAGAGUGGCAAACGGGUGAGUAACACGUGGGUGACCUGCCUUCGAGUGGGGGAUAACGUACCCGAAGGGAACGCUAAUAACCGCAUGACAUCCUGCCUUUGAAGAGGCGGAGAUCAAAGCUGGGGAUCGCAAGACCUAGCGCUUGAAGAGGGGCCCGC